AUGGUAGGAUAGAGGCCUACCAUGGUGGUAACGGGUAACGGGGUGUUAGGGCACGACACCGGAGAGGGAGCCUGAGAAACGGCUACCACAUCCAAGGAUGGCAGCAGGCGCGCAAAUUACCCAAUCCCGACACGGGGAGGUAGUGACAAUAAAUAACAAUACGGGGUUCUUUAGGAUCUCGUAAUUGGAAUGAGUACAAUUUAAAUCUCUUAACGAGGAACAAUUGGAGGGCAAGUCUGGUGCCAGCAGCCGCGGUAAUUCCAGCUCCAAUAGCGUAUAUUAAAGUUGUUGCAGUUAAAAAGCUCGUAGUUGAAUUUCGGGGUCAGUAGGUCGGUCGUGCCACUGGUAUGAACUGGUUUUACUGAUUCCUCCCUCUUGAAGAACUGUAAUGCCAUUAAUUUGGUGUUGCAGGGAAUCAGGACUGUUACUUUGAAAAAAUUAGAGUGUUUAAAGCAGGCUUUAGCUUGAAUACAUUAGCAUGGAAUAAUGAAAUAGGACGUUUGAUCCUAUUUUGUUGGUUUCUAGGAUUGACGUAAUGAUUAAUAGGGAUAGUUGGGGGCACUAGUAUUCAAUUGUCAGAGGUGAAAUUCUUGGAUUUAUUGAAGACUAACUACUGCGAAAGCAUUUGCCAAGGAUGUUUUCAUUAAUCAAGAACGAAAGUUAGGGGAUCGAAGACGAUCAGAUACCGUCGUAGUCUUAACCAUAAACUAUGCCGACUAGGGAUCGGAUGAUGUUAAUUUUUUAAUGACUCAUUCGGCGCCUUACGGGAAACCAAAGUGUUUGGG
rnacentral:rRNA from 1 species